CGGAAACACGUGACCUCCACAGUAGCCAGAAACACGCAUGGAUACCGUGGAAGACUUGCAAGUGGAUCGCAAAGAUGCACGUAUCAAUCUGGCAUUCAGGCUUAAAGCCAGAAUUGCAGGAAUGCAACACGUGUUGCAGGGGACUCUUUCACUGCCCUCUGUGCCCCACUUUCAGCCCUACUGUCCGGGCAAAGAUUGAGGAGCAUCUAAAUGUGCAUAUAAAAAAUGCUUUGCCUUUCAAAGAUAAAAUGAUAUGCCGGUGCAGGCUUCCGUGUAGGACAACAGGACACUUUCACUGCCCUGUCUGUGAGAUUACAAUCAUACGGCGUGGGGAUAUGGCAAGGCAUUUAUUGUCUUGUCAGCAUUCUUCAAUGCCAAGUCAGCCACCAUUAUCAGGACUGCUCCCCGCUGAACUCUCCAAGGAGCCCCGUCUCCCUCCGGCAGCACUCUCCGAGGAGACCCGUAUUCCUCCGCACUCUCCGUGGAGCCCCGCCUCUCUCCCGCUGCACUCUCCGUGGAGCCACAUCUCCCUCUCGAUGUCUUGUCUCCAGCAUAUAAACCAUUUUCUGAAUCUUCAGUAGAACAUUCAUGUGCUCUACCCUCUGUGCUGAAUGAAACUGUGGCUUGUGGAAAGUCCAUGAAAAUGAAAUGCCCUCACUGUGGUCUUAGUCUUCUUACAAAAAAAACUUCAAGGCUCACAUGAUUAGGAGGCAUUCAAACAGAUCAAUAGAUGUUUGCCUGACCUGUCAUCUGCUGUGUUUUUGUGUAGAGGGACUUCUUCCUCUUUGUUUUUCAGUUUGCAGAGGACAUGGAGCUCUUUUUAAAAGCAUGUGCUUUUCAAUAAUAUUUUUAUACAUUUUACGCAUUAACCCUCUGAUCUCUAUCCUGGCCAUUUGUGGCCACUUCACUUCUUCUUCUUGUUUGACUACCACAUUGCAGUGGACCAAAAGAAUGACACAGGUUUGAUCUUAAUAAUAAUAAUAAUACAUUUUAUUUGAAAGCGCCUUUCAAAACACUCAAGGUCGCUGUACACAGUAGAGUAAAAAAGCAACAUAAAAGCAAAGAGUUUACACAAUCAUAAAACAUAAACAAAUUUAAAAUAGCCAAAUGGAGAGGUUAUAAGGAUCUAAUAGUUGUGUGUGUUUGUGCAUGACAUUGCAACGCAAAUAUGCAAAGAUGUAUUUGCAAGAUAGACUGGAAUAAAUUAUGACGCAUCAAAUAUUA